AACGAACGCUGGCGGCAGGCUUAACACAUGCAAGUCGAACGGGCACCUUCGGGUGUCGGUGGCAGACGGGUGAGUAACGCGUGGGAACGUACCCUUCGGUUCGGAAUAACCCAGGGAAACUUGGGCUAAUACCGGAUACGUCCGUAAGGAGAAAGAUUUAUUGCCGAAGGAUCGGCCCGCGUCGGAUUAGCUAGUUGGUGGGGUAAUGGCCCACCAAGGCGACGAUCCGUAGCUGGUCUGAGAGGAUGAUCAGCCACACUGGGACUGAGACACGGCCCAGACUCCUACGGGAGGCAGCAGUGGGGAAUAUUGGACAAUGGGCGAAAGCCUGAUCCAGCCAUGCCGCGUGAGUGAAGAAGGCCUUAGGGUUGUAAAGCUCUUUCAGCGGGGAAGAUAAUGACGGUACCCGCAGAAGAAGUCCCGGCUAACUUCGUGCCA
rnacentral:rRNA from 1 species